rnacentral:rRNA from 1 species
AGCGUAGGCGGACUUUUAAGUGAGAUGUGAAAUACCCGGGCUCAACUUGGGUGCUGCAUUUCAAACUGGAAGUCUAGAGUGCAGGAGAGGAGAAUGGAAUUCCUAGUGUAGCGGUGAAAUGCGUAGAGAUUAGGAAGAACACCAUGGCGAAGGCGAUUCUCUGGACUGUAACUGACGCUGAGGCUCGAAAGCGUGGGGAGCAAACA